GAUGAACGCUGGCGGCGUGCCUAAUACAUGCAAGUCGAGCGAACAGACGAGGAGCUUGCUCCUCUGACGUUGCGGCCGCCCGGGUAGUUACCCGUUGAUUACCCUCCUUUUAAACCUGGAAAACUUCGGGAAACCCGAGCUAAUUCCGGGAAAUUUUUUUAACCCCCUGGUUUCAUUGUUAAAAGCCGUUUUUCCUUUCCCUUAUAAUUGAUCCCCGCCGCCUUAGCUAGUUGGUAAGGUAACGGCUUAACAAAGCAACGAUGCGUAGCCGACCUGAGAGGGUGAUCGGCCACACUGGAACUGAGACACGGUCCAGACUCCUACGGGAGGCAGCAGUAGGGAAUCUUCCGCAAUGGGCGAAAGCCUGACGGAGCAACGCCGCGUGAGUGAUGAAGGUCUUCGGAUCGUAAAACUCUGUUAUUAGGGAAGAACAAAUGUGUAAGUAACUAUGCACGUCUUGACGGUACCUAAUCAGAAAGCCACGGCUAACUACGUG
rnacentral:rRNA from 1 species